rnacentral:tRNA from 1 species
AUGGUCGGGAUAGCUCAGCUGGUARAGCARAGGACUGAAAAUCCUCGUGUCACCCAGUUCAAAU